CAGUCGCCGCGGGAAUACGAAGGGGGCUAGCGUUGUUCGGAAUUACUGGGCGUAAAGGGCGCGUAGGCGGCCAUUCAAGUUAGAUGUGAAAGCCCUGGGCUCAACCUAGGAAUUGCAUUUGAUACUGUUUGGCUUGAGUUCGGGAGAGGUGAGUGGAAUCCCCAGUGUAGAGGUGAAAUUCGUAGAUAUUGGGAAGAACACCGGUGGCGAUGGCGGCGACCUGGUCCUUGACUGACGCUGAGGCGCGAAAGCGUGGGGAGCAAACAGGAUUAGAUACCCCGGUAGUCCCUGUCUCUUAUAC
rnacentral:rRNA from 1 species